rnacentral:lncRNA from 1 species
UGACUAAGAAAUUGUAAGGAUUCAUAUUUUGUGAACUUUGAAAAGCACAGAGGCAUAUGAUGAUCCCUCGAUCUCGUUCUGUAAUAAAAAGAGCUAAGUUGUUAACGUUUCCCUUCAUAGGUAAUUAAAAAAAGUAAAGGACGACUUUGUUGUAUCCGGGGGCAUAAAUGAUACAAUUGAAAACCUAAGUAGUCUAUCAAGUAAAGGUGAAGGACCACGAUUCUAAUUUUCCCAAAACUAAGAAAUAUUCCUUUAUAGUUCGUAAUCGCAGGUUCCGUCCCUCAAUUCAGUCGAAAUGCCCAUAUUUUCAAGACCCAUCGUCACUCGAUCACGCAUCAAAAACAGACUCUUGGUCCCCUCCACCUUUCUCUCUCUCACCCUUCUCUUCUACCUCAACAACCGCGGC